ensembl:lncRNA
GUGAGAUGCUGGAUGAGGGUUUGCGUUCUGGUCCUGUGCCAGGAACAAUGCAAGCAAUGGCAGUCAGAUAUGAAAGCAUAACAAUGUAUGUGUGUGGGGACUGGAAAUCUGUUGUCCCUCUGGCCUGUUUAAACUCCCAGACACUGAGAGAGUCCCUUCUUCUCAUUCUUUCCCUUUAGAAAGAACAUUUUGGAAUUUUAGAAAGGAACCUCUCUUUCUCUCCAAUGAAUAGAACGUGUGUGCACAUACUUACUCAUCUAAAAGCAUAUACAGACAUUUAAAUAUUAGACCAAAAGUUUUUCAUUAUAUAUAUCUAUACCAGAUAGAGAAGAAGUAGGUUGAAAUAUCUGAUGAUGUGACGCUUUUCCGAGUGACAUUUGGUCAGAAGGAUGCUUGGCAGUGCUAAUUUUUAAACAUGCUUUUAGGACCUAGUACAGUGCAAGAGGGUAAAAUAUAUUUUAGAUGCAUUAUAGAGCAUUGUGGUGUAGUGAUGUUUAUAGCCUAGUCAAGGAGAGGACCUCAAAUUGCAAAUGUAUCUAAUAAGUAUUUGAUGAUUUUGCUUUCCUCCAGCAAUGGUGAAGCUCCACUGAUUUGUCUGUAUCAGGGUUUUGUCCCAUUCGUUUUGUAGCGUUCCCAUUUACUUCCUAUACCUACUGAGCUCCUUACAGGGCUUUCUUUCCAACUGCCUACAGAGUUUCUCCUGUGGCCGCCUCUAAGUGUGCUGCAUUUCCUCAAAGCAUCUUCUUAUUCAUCCCAUCUCCUGUUUUAUGUUGAAAGCUUUUAAAAUACAUUUUAAUGAUGCAUAGCAGCAAUAUAAUGAGCCUAAUAGCAUGCUAUUGAUUUUCAUUUGCGACACUGGCAUUCAAACAUUUCAAUAGUGUUUUAAGAGUGUGUAUAUUUAAUGUGAUUCAAAGACAGGGCAAAUGCACUACAAUAUUUAUCUGCUAAAAAAAACUCCACUAUCUCUUACCAACUGAAUCCUCCCUCCAUCCUCCCCUGCAAUGUUUGUUGCAAUCAGCUGCAUUAGAAGUAUAUCAUUUUCAGUGUCUUAAAACAAGCAAGCCAAAAUCCUUGGUACAAGGAAGUAAAGGGGAAAAACAACAGGUCACUGUAUCUGCACAUAUCUUUGUUUAUCUGCUGUGGUCACAGUGAAGAUAUUAAAGAUGCAGACCCAGUCAGUGCUGUUGGUGAAUGCAGUGUUUUAGCUUCAGAGUGAAGAAAGCUGCUCCAGGAUACUCUCUAGAUAGGAAUUAGCUGAGUUAUGGAACACACUAGCUCAGGCUAAGAAAAACGAGCAGAAAAAUGAGACUGGCAAAUGUACACAUCACCAUAAGAUAAGAUAACCGUUCUCAUUUGCUCGAUAACCUGGUAGUUACACCCUACAGAGAGCACUGCUUUCGGGAGCAGUUUCUGUGUACUCAGUGAGCAGGAUGUGAAGCAGCCAUUCAGUUCACUCUGAAUGUAUGUGCAGUGUCACCUGCAUUUAUGACCACUUGGAGGUAAUGCUAUAACAGCAGCGUUGACAAGCUGCACCAGCCACACAUACGCACACCAGAUGGCUGUGCUACUGUUCAACAGGACCUGGACAGACCUGUGAGUUGGGCAGAGAGAAACCUGAUGAGCUUCAGCAAGAACAAGCACGGGAUCCCGUACCUGGGAAGAAAUAACUGCAUGUAUCAGUACAGAUGAGGGGCUGACCUGCUGGAAAGGAGCUCUGUGGGGAAGGACUUAAGUGUUCUAGUGGACAACAGUUUGGCCUUCAGCCAGCAGUGUGCCACUCUGAGGUACUGUGGCUCCCCAGUUCGAGAACGAGAGGAAGAGAGGGAACUUCUUGAGAGAAUCCAGCAGAGGCCUGCAAAGAAGAUGAGGGGCCUGGAGCAUCUACACUAUUGAGGAAAGGCUGAGAGACCUGGGGCUGUUCAGCCUGGAGAAGAGAAGGAUGAGAGGGGAUCUCAUCAUUAUUUAUAAAUACCUAAAAGGUGGGAAUCAAAUCAAUGAGGCCAGGCUCUUUUUGGUGGUGUGCAGUUACAGGACAAGGGAUAAUGGGCAAAAGCUGCAGUACAGGAAAUUCCAUACCAACACGAGGAAGAACUUCUGUACUGUGAGGGUGACAGAGCACUGGAACAGGCUGCCCAGAGAGGUUGUGGAGUCUCCUUCUCUAGAGGUAUUCAAAAUCCCCCCUGGAUGCUUUCCUGUGCAACCCACUGCAGGGAACCUGCUUUAGCAGGGAGUGUGCUAGUCCCCACAGUUCCCUUCCAACCCCAGUGAUUCUGUGUGUGAUAUUGCCGUAGCUCCUUGUGUUAUAAGGAAAGACGCUAGUUUUCCAAGGCUUUGACAUGCUUUAUUUGAGACUGUUUAUAACAAAUGAAUAAAAAUGAAAUUGUCAGAGUGUCGCUCAUAUAUUACAAAUCAGUUAUCUGUACAGACGUAAAUGUGUGUGACUAUCUGAAGAUCUUAGGAAAUACACUUUCUGCUCUGUGGGUUGACUGAAUAUCAGUAACGUGGAGAGAGAGAGUGAGACAGAAAGAGAGACAGAGACAGAGAAGUACUAGAGAUACAUGGAAGACUUAUGCUUUUGUAAGGACUUCAGUUUUCUUGCUUUCUCAAUACGCAGCUGUUGGUUUGUAACCACAUCAACCAACAGAAUCUCCUGACAGGGCUUGACUCAGAUAUUACUGCCGUUGAGUGAAACUACACAGGUUUUGCUAUCAAGAUAAAAAAAUCAGCUGCUUUAAUUACCAUUUAUUUCAUUUUUUUUUCUAAUCUUUAUACUUUCCUUUAAAGGUCAUGAUGCAAAAAUUCCUGAGAAUGUGUAAAUGAUUCUGAAGUUUAAGAAGCUUUUGAAUCAGUUAACAGUUUCCAGUGUGCAAGUUGGGGUGAAAUAAGAUACCAGUCUUGAUUCUAAGAAGUUACCCAAGGAAUCCUAAAACAUGCAACAGAUGAGGUACCUAAGACAGACAUGGGCACGUGUUUUGUGUCAUACAUUAAAAAGUAUGUGAAGUUCAAUUCCUGUCCACACCAGAGACAUUAGCUUUUGGCUAGUGCCAGAAAUGAUCAAGAAAACCGUUGUUUGGUUCCAAAAUUCUGAAAAGGGAAACAUCAUUUAUUUUCAGUAGAUGGGGGUAGUAAUGAGUGGUUCUCCUGCAAACACCUAAUUCUCUUGGCUGACUGCGGAUGGACUGUAGAAGGAUGAGGUCAGAUGUCAUAUUUUUGACCUCUACAUUGGGACAGAGCGAUCCCAUUCCUAAAGUCGUGCUGAACAUCCUGGGGAAGCAAGAACAAAUUUGAAGCUGAGCUGAGCGUAAAUCCUGGCAAGAACAAUUAUACCUGCAGCUGGACACGACCGAAAGGCAAAAGUAUUCCAGAAGUGUUAAAUGUGUGCACGUUUUAUGACAAUCUGUGGCUGGGACAGAGGAGAGACCUUAUCCAUUCCCUCCCUGGAGAAGUCAGCACUGGCUGAAUUCUGCUGAUAGGCAGUAGUAACUUGCUGGCAAGUCAAUUUCUGUGCAGCUGUAACUCUGCUGUGAUGCGUGUAAACUCCUCAAGUCACAAGGAUGGGAAGGGCUGGAAGAGAGGCAGCUGGGGUUGUUGGACUGUUGACUCAACCUCAAAGUGACUGAAUUCUGAGGUGAUGCUAUAGGGAGCUUCUCAGCGGUGGCUGAAGGAACAUGGUGGAAAAGAAAUGCAAAGCCAGUGCUAGAGAAGGGGUCAUCACAUCCCUGUUUUGGUUUUUCAACCCAUUUGCUCCACUGUAAAGUAUGGUCCUGAGCAGUGUCUGCAUGUUUCUUUGUUGGAGGGAGAAUCAUAGAAUCAGAAUCGCUAAGGUUGGAAAAGACCCACAGGAUCAUCCAGUCCAACCAUUCGCCCUUCACCAAUGGUUCUCGCUAAACCAUGUCCCUCAACACAACAUCCAAAUGCUCUUUGAACACCACCAGGCUCGGUGACUCCACCUCCUCUCUGGGCAGCCCAUUCCAGUGCCUGACCACCCUUUCAGAGAAGUAGUAUUUCCUAACGUCCAGCCUGAACCUUCCCUGGUGCAGCUUGAAGCCAUUCCCUCUAGUCCUAAUGUAUGUCCUAAUAUAUGAAUGUAACAUAUAUGUGUAACAUGUAUAUAGCAUGAUUACUUAUUUACCUGUAUUUGCGGUGAUGUUUGGAAAGGAG